AUAUGGAUCUUCCUUCCAUUAGAAGAAAAAACCUUAGACACUUCACUUGUAUCCGGAGUACUUUAUUUAGCUCGGUGAUUAAUUAAUGCAUGCAAUAGUCAGGAUAAUUUGGUCUACGACUAUGAGGGUAAUGUUAUUGGUGCACGUUGCAUAUCAAAGACAGGAGUGACACUGUGUAGCUGCUUUCAAGAUCUUACGGCACUCGAUUUACAAAGCUAGCCACCUGUGAAACGUCAUUGCAGCAGAGGCAUCACCACCCACCAACGUGGCCACGUUUUCUGCCUAGAAACACCAUCGACUAAUUGGAAUAGCGAGACCAAAGAAUCCCGUGGGCUGGGACCAACGUGGGACAUGGGGGCUGGACAGAGUGUAGAGGAAACCAGACGGUUGGACAACGUCAGUGACCACAUUCAGAAGUCCAACGCCCAUCCAGAGGCUGACAUGGCACCUAACCCACAGGAGCCUGCUGCGGAGCUCCCCCAGCGCAGGAUGGGCGACAAGAACGUGGAUGACAUGUGCUUCAUGAUCUCAUGCACCAACUGGUACUAGAGGGUGGUGGGUGGCAGCAGGCGACGCAUUUAAAAACAGUCGUACGCACACCCCAAAACUUUUGCCUUGAUGCCGCAUCCUGACAGAAUGAUAAAGCUAAGAGUGUUCACCUCUGCACCUCACGAUUUACUCCAAUAGCGUAGAUAAAAAGCACAAGUACAGUCGAGGAAGUGGCCGCGCUGCGCGUGGGGGGCUCAGGUGCAGUGCUAAUUGCACUGUUAUUACCGUCCAGGUUCGUUCAGACAGCUACUCGGAAGUCUAGAGCAUGCAAAAAUAAACCCUUCUACUGCGGCGUGCACACCUUUAUGCUGGGUUUUACCCGAGUUACCAGGCAGUAGGCCUUCUUAGCAGGCUUUACAAAAAGGUUGGAAGAUUUAAGAGGAAAGGGAUAUGCAUCAAUAACACUGUGUUUGAAAGUAUCUAUCAUUUGGUGUGUCAUUUACCCUUGUUAGUUGGGUACCGUUUGUGAUAUGUGCACAUCCUUCAUGGUCUGGCAUGUAAUUUAAGUUGCAUACUUUUGGGCUUUCAUAACAUUAUAGGAGUCGUGAAUCAUGAGAUUCCUUAUAAACACUCAUUGUUUUUUUCUACAGUGUAACAUGGUGAGCAGGUCAAGACACAUUUUUGUCAUCAGCCAUUGCAAAGCUUUUUAAACCUUUUAUUGACAUUUCUUUGUUAAUAGAACAUGGUGAUAUUGGUAGAUAUACAGUGUAUAACUGUUGAAUGAAAAUAAUAUAUAAAAACAAUGUUUACGUUUAUGUAAUUAAAAGUGUUUUUUUGUAAAUAAAGCUUAAAUAAUAUGGUGUAUAAUAACAUAUUCUUUUAACUUUUAUCCGUUUCUGAGAUUAAACAGAUCAUACAGAAAAAGAAAAUUAGAAAAGAUCAGACUUUUCAAAAGUGUGUCAGAUUUUUAUAUUUACACAAUCAUUUAUUAGGGGGUUCGUUCAACUCACAGUCAUCUUGGAACUUCUUUUUGUUAGAAAAAAACUCAUUUUUGUGUCGUAUUUCGAAAACAGACUGAGUUUGAUAUUCACUUUGAUCAGUCAGAAAAUAACCCAAAAAGAAUAUUUACAUAAAAUACAUCGUAAAAUAUCAUGAAAACAACAAACAAAAGUGAAUUUCCUCUUUAAAGCUAUGUUAGAUAAAAUCUCACUUGAUCCCCAGUAAAACUUUAAUACAAUUUUUUAACUUUAAAAGUCUGGACUACCUCUGAUAUGUUUUUCUCCUAUUACUUCUCAUGUAACAGAACUAUAGAAACAAAAGGCAACAACAGGCAAGUUACAGAUGGCCGUUGUCUAUAGCCACCAUAAUGUUUAUAUAGGCCAAGUAGG